GUUUGCAAGGUACCUGCGGCAACAAUGUAUCUCUUCAGAGCCGCACGAGGCAGUGUGAGGAGACCAGGUGGCACUGACAGUUCAUUUGUGGAAAAAGGACGUGGCCCUCGUUAUAACGCAAAGUGGCCGUAUGGCCUGGAUCUGGAGGACAAGAGGAAUCAGCUGCUCGCAAGUGACCGACUGAGCCAAAUGCGAAGAAAUCAGGCAGGCCCUGACCUUCAUGCUUCGACAGAUCCUGGCAAGUGACAGGCAUGUGGGCAGCCUAUCAGGUCCACACGUUUCCUGAAGCCCCCCAGUCGGCAAGGCCCUAAGGACCGGGCACCUGGCCCACCUUGUCCGAUAACUUGAGUCCGGCUCCGCCCUUCGCCUGUGUUGACCGCGGUGGCCUCUGCUCGGCGGGGUGGCCGCAUCUGCUCCCGGCUCCGGGAGGUCUGCUAAAGCCCAUUCAGGUGCACCGCUGGCAGGUCAGGUGGUCCACGUGCCGAGGGGAGGAGACAGCGUCCUUACCUGGUUUCUGCUUCAUUCACGGUUGGAGCUGACGAAUUCUGUAGGCUCCCUUUGGCCGGGGCUUUCGGAUACGCGUGGCAGUGCUGUGAGCUGGAGUCCGGGAGACCGUGUAUUGAGACGCACGGUUGGGUCGCAGGCAGAGUUGUCUUGUUGGGGACGGUGUUUCCAAGGCAACGACCGGUAGUUAAGAGGUGAUGAUUCAGAAAAAAAGCCUUCACCUGUGCUCGCCCGGCUUUCAUCUUUCGCAGACAAAGCAGGCUGGGGCUUGGGCCUCGGUCUGUGGCAUGCUUAGGGCCCGGGUAUUAAAGGGGCUGGAUCACCCUCAGGCUUUUAAGGGUUUUUUUGGGUUAAAUUGAUGAGCAUGUAUAAUAAAUUGAAGCUUUG